rnacentral:rRNA from 1 species
UACGAAGGGGGCUAGCGUUGCUCGGAAUCACUGGGCGUAAAGCGCACGUAGGCGGAUUGCUAAGUCAGGGGUGAAAUCCUGGAGCUCAACUCCAGAACUGCCUUUGAUACUGGCGACCUUGAGUCCGGGAGAGGUGAGUGGAACUGCGAGUGUAGAGGUGAAAUUCGUAGAUAUUCGCAAGAACACCAGUGGCGAAGGCGGCUCACUGGCCCGGUACUGACGCUGAGGUGCGAAAGCGUGGGGAGCAAACGGG